rfam:Heterocephalus glaber contig179877, whole genome shotgun sequence.
ACAAAGGCUCUUUUCAGAGCCACCCACAUAUUCAUUAAGAGGGCA